GGAGAGGUGCCAGAGUGGCCGAUCGGGGCGGUCUCGAAAACCGUUGUACGUUCAAGCGUACCGUGGGUUCGAAUCCCACCCUCUCCGCCA
rnacentral:tRNA from 1 species